CCUACGAGUGGCAGCAGUGAGGAAUAUUGGUCAAUGGGCGGAAGCCUUAACCAGCCAAGUAGCGUGCAGGAUGACGGCCCUACGGGUUGUAAACUGCUUUUGUACGAGGGUAAAUCCCGAUACGUGUAUCGGGUUGAAAGUAUCGUACGAAUAAGGAUCGGCUAACUCCGUGCCAGCAGCCGCGGUAAUACGGAGGAUUCAAGCGUUAUCCGGAUUUGUUGGGUUUAAAGGGUGCGUAGGCGGUUCGAUAAGUUAGAGGUGAAAUCCCGGGACUCAACGCCGGCACUGCCUCUGAUACUGUCGGGCUAGAGGUUAGUUGCGGUAGGCGGAAUGUAUGGUGUAGCGGUGAAAUGCAUAGAGAUCAUACAGAACACCGAUUGCGAAGGCAGCUUACCAAACUACGACUGACGUUGAGGCACGAAAGCGUGGGGAGCAAACAGGAUUAGAUACCCGGGUAGUC
rnacentral:rRNA from 1 species